UGGGAGCACUGGGAGCAAUGGGAGCAAUGGGAGGUGAUAUUGGGAGCACUGGGAGCACUGGGAGCACUGGGAGUAAUGGGAGGUGUUACUGGGAGCACUGGGAGGUGAUACUGGGAGCACUGGGAGCACUGGGAGUAAUGGGAGGUGAUACUGGGAGCAAUGGGAGGUGAUACUGGGAGCACUGGGAGCACUGGCAGCACUGGGAGCACUGGGAGCACUGGGAGCUGUGCAGCAAGGUGAACUGGGAGCACUGGGAGCAAUGGGAGCAAUGGGAACACUGGGAGCACUGGGAGCACUGGGAGCACUGGGAGUAAUGGGAG